CAGUUCAUAACUGCUUGCUUCUUUGUUUUCACUAGAAAUUAGUUUUGAAGAGUUGAGGAUUCUGAUGUAAAUGUCACUCAAGUUACUAAAAAUAAUAAAAGAAAAAUUUCAGUAUACAGCAGGAAAGCAGGUUAUAUGUUUUGAGUUAAAAAAAAUUGUCCUAAAUAAAGCUCCUUUGCUUCUAGAUGAAAGACAAAGGACAAACUAACAGGGACACUGAAAGUUGUGGCAAGUCUGUGAACAGGGGGCCCUAGAAGGGUUUUGUGCAUGGUCGGGCUGAGAUUCAACUUCAGCAGUCAACAGUUUUGGUGACCAUUUACGAAGGGACCCAGAGCAGACUCCUCUCCUUCGCCUGAACUCUAUGAGGACCUGGAGCCUUGGUACCAGCACAGGCCUCUUGGGCCCAUCUGACUUUUCGAAGAGUCCAAAUUUGGUGUUUAGGACAGAAAGAGAAUUCUCUAGUGGAGCUGUCACGGUGUAACUGCUCACGAUGCAUAACGGUGCCUGCUCUACGUCUAUUGCUAAAAGCACAUGUACGACGCUUGUGGAACAAUUGGGUGUAAGUGAUAGAAUGUAAAGCCAAUAACGUGCUUCCCCAUCAGCAUACCUCUGAGCCUGUCCACCAUCUCUGACUAGUUCUCCCCCAACGCGGAUGACCAGGCAAAUAUAAAGGAGGCCCAGCCCCGAGGGACGUGAUCUGAACAUGGGGCAGGAGCCAUCACCCCCAUCAGCGCUGAGGGAUGGGUAUUUUGAUCAUCAAUGCUUUCUACUUGAAAGAUUUGCAGUCAAAAAGAGAAAUGAUGGGAAAAUCUGCACAUAGUGAGGUAUGGGGAAGUCAUUCUGGCCUACACACAGUUAAACUUCACUGACCAAAGGGGCCUGUUGUUCUGGCCUUUUCGACAUGGAUUGUACAUCCGCUUUGACCUUGAGGAGGGGAAUGCGUUUGAAAGUCGAAAUGGAGUAGCUGUGCUUCAGACAUUCAAGGUAAAACUAGGUGGCCCCCUGGGGGUGUGAUUUCAGACAGGUUCUUGUAUCUCUGAGAACUCAGAUUCUAAGCUGUGUCCUUCUGGGGAGACCACCCACCGUUCUCCAAGCAGUGUAUGCUGGCAGCUGGCACCUGCAGCCUUACGACCUUAAGGUCUCUUGUUUUUAACUACUAAACUUUUAGAUAAUAAAAUUGUUUUAGAUAAGAUGUUAGCAGAACAAAGGAGAGGCGUAAUGGCAGCAGCUCCUGCUGUUUGUGAAUACACGUCAGAAGCUGAAACCUACUUAGAUUAAAGCAGACAGCUGGCUACAAUCUCCCACAAAGCGCCAGCCCCAAACUGGCUUUCAGGCUUGGGCCCCUGAAUUCCUCUGGGAAUGAGAUCUGUUUGUCUGUUAAAGUUCUGGUUGUCACUCCAGCUACUUGUAAUCGAGUCUGCUGGCACAAAAAGUGGGGAACUAAAGGACUGUGAUCUUAAUCAUACAAGACUCAGAUCCAGGACUUGAAGCUAGGGGGUGUUUUCAAUGUGGUGCCCACCCCCAAACUGAGGCAGGACGAGGCCUCGCUUCGGCAGGAAGUCGCCAGAGCAGGAAGCUUUGGGGAAGGAUAAAACAGGAGUGGAGACUGAAACUGUCCCCCUAAAACCGGGCUCCGCUGCCGAGUUUAUGGUUAACCUCUCUGUCCAAAAUGUCAUUCCCUGCCUUGUCCAGCACCCGUUCUUAUGACUGAAAAGUAUCAAGAGGGGGGGACUGUAAGCAAGCAGGACCCUGUGGGGCCGUCUCGGGGCAGACCCCUCCCCUGUACCCUCUGCUGCGGCUCCUCUCUGUGGUACCCAGAUCACAGUACCCCAUGUCUGCUUCCUGAGUUUUUCAGAUGCUGAAAACCACCACCAAAGGGAAGACUCGAACUACCUGAUGGUCAGGAACACGUGGCCCCAGGCCUGCCGGCGCCUGGGGGUCGGCAGCGUUGGCCGUCCUGUUCCCUCCACAUCAGCCCGCCAGGGAAUCGUGCACGAGCUAAUGGCCUACCUGCCGCCCGCCUUUCCUCGCUCGGCCCUGCAGUGAACCUGUCUCUGCUCCAGGCUCACAUCGGGCACCCGGACGUGCCUUCGGCAGCAUGGGUGCAGAGGGAAGGGAGUAGGUGGUGGAUGCCUGCGGGGAGGACACAGUCCUGCCGGACCGCGGGGACCAAGAACCCGGGCUGAAACUAAUUCCACUUGUCCCACUGACACAUCCGGUCCCAGAGCCGCUCAGCCAACACCUAACCCACUCCCAGGGGACUGCCCCCGUCAGGGCAGGUGCCGGCUGGCCAGUGGGCAGAGCAAAGGUCACAGGCCACCGAGGAGGGGGUGGAAUGGGGGCAGGGGUGAGUGCGCCACCUGCAGCCCAGGGCAGGGUGGGUGCUGCGGCCUCAGGACCCCAGCUCCAGCUCUGCCCCUGGCCCGGGACCUGCAUGACAGCCGGCACCUCCUGCCGCUAAAUUCUGUGCAUCUGGCCACCUGCUGGACUGGGAGCCCGAAGGGCAGGGGCCAGAGCGUUCAUCCUCCAAUGCCUGGCACCCAGCCUGGUGCGAGGUGGCUGUCAGAUGCUCAGUUGAUGUUUACUGCUAAUGGAUCCUAUGUGAAAAAUGAAUCUGUGCAUUUUGUGCCUCUGUCUCAACGCGUGACUUCCUCCCUGCGUUGCAUUUGUAAAACAUGACAGUACCUUGGAGGAACUGGGCAGGGAUAAGUGGGGACUGUGCACCCGGAUGGGCUGAGGCCCGGAAGUCGCCCUGCUGGGGUCCAGGCUGGGCUUGCUCUGGGCUGGAUGCCUCUGCAGCCAGAGGGGCCGGACUGCCCACAGCCAAAGGGGAGGGAGAUGGCCCGGCACAGUCUCUGCUGUGUGCUCUGCGGUGGAAACCAGGCGCUCU